rfam:Clostridium sp. DMHC 10 contig_16, whole genome shotgun sequence.
CAAAAGGAUUUAAUAAAAUCCACAUCAAAAAACGAUUCUGAUUUAG